rnacentral:rRNA from 1 species
ACGCUGCGGCGGCCUAUACAUGCAAGUCGAACGGUAACAGAUCCCGGCAACGGGAGCUGACGAGUGGCGCACGGGUGCGUAACACGUAUGCAACCUACCCUGUACUGGGGGAUAACCCUGAGAAAUCGGGGCUAAUACCCCAUGGUAAUAUAGAUGGGCAUCCAUUUAUAUUUAAAGAUUCAUUGGUACGGGAUGGGCAUGCGCCCCAUUAGUUAGUUGGUGAGGUAACGGCUCACCAAGGCGUUGAUGGGUAGGGGUUCUGAGAGGAUUACCCCCCACACUGGUACUGAGACACGGACCAGACUCCUACGGGAGGCAGCAGUAAGGAAUAUUGGGCAAUGGAGGCAACUCUGACCCAGCCAUGCCGCGUGCAGGAAGACUGCCCUAUGGGUUGUAAACUGCUUUUUCAGGGGACUAACCGUGGUUACGUGUAACCACCUGCAUGUACCCUGGGAACAAGCAUCGGCUAACUCCGUGCCAGCAGCCGCGGUAAUACGGAGGAUGCGAGCGUUAUCCGGAUUUAUUGGGUUUAAAGGGUGCGUAGGCUGACAUGUAAGUCAGUGGUGAAAGACCCCGGCUUAACCGGGGGGUUGCCAUUGAAACUGUAUGUCUUGAGUGUAAUCGAAGUGGGCGGAAUGAGGGGUGUAGCGGUGAAAUGCAUAGAUAUUCCUCAGAACACCGAUAGCGAAGGCAGCUCACUAGCUUACAACUGACGCUGAGGCACGAAAGCGUGGGUAUCAAACAGGAUUAGAUACCCUGGUAGUCCACGCUGUAAACGAUGAUCACUAGCUGUUUGCGAUACACAGUAAG